AGCAGCAGCCGCGGUAAUACGUAGGGUGCGAGCGUUAAUCGGAAUUACUGGGCGUAAAGCGUGCGCAGGCGGUUAUAUAAGACAGAUGUGAAAUCCCCGGGCUCAACCUGGGACCUGCAUUUGUGACUGUAUAGCUAGAGUACGGUAGAGGGGGAUGGAAUUCCGCGUGUAGCAGUGAAAUGCGUAGAUAUGCGGAGGAACACCGAUGGCGAAGGCAAUCCCCUGGACCUGUACUGACGCUCAUGCACGAAAGCGUGGGGAGCAAACAGGAUUAGAGACCCCAGUAGUCCCUGUCUCUUAUCC
rnacentral:rRNA from 1 species